GACGAACACUGGCGGCGUGCUUAACACAUGCAAGUCGAACGGAAAGGCCCUGCUUUUGUGGGGUGCUCGAGUGGCGAACGGGUGAGUAACACGUGAGUAACCUGCCCUUGACUUUGGGAUAACUUCAGGAAACUGGGGCUAAUACCGGAUAGGAGCUCCUGCUGCAUGGUGGGGGUUGGAAAGUUUCGGCGGUUGGGGAUGGACUCGCGGCUUAUCAGCUUGUUGGUGGGGUAGUGGCUUACCAAGGCUUUGACGGGUAGCCGGCCUGAGAGGGUGACCGGCCACAUUGGGCCUGCGAUACGGCCCAGACUCCUACGGGAGGCAGCAGUGGGGAAUAUUGCACAAUGGGCGGAAGCCUGAUGCAGCAACGCCGCGUGCGGGAUGACGGCCUUCGGGUUGUAAACCGCUUUCGCCUGUGACGAAGCGUGAGUGACGGUAAUGGGUAAAGAAGCACCGGCUAACUACGUG
rnacentral:rRNA from 1 species